rnacentral:rRNA from 1 species
AUACGGAGGGUCCAAGCGUUAUCCGGAAUCAUUGGGUUUAAAGGGUCCGUAGGCGGGCAAUUAAGUCAGAGGUGAAAUCCCACAGCUCAACUGUGGAACUGCCUUUGAUACUGGUUGUCUUGAAUUAUAGUGAAGUAGAUAGAAUAUGUAGUGUAGCGGUGAAAUGCAUAGAUAUUACAUAGAAUACCGAUUGCGAAGGCAGUCUACUAACUAUAUAUUGACGCUGAUGGACGAAAGCGUGGGGAGCGAACAGGAUUAGAUACCCUAGUAGUCC